rnacentral:ncRNA from 1 species
AACGAAACUUUGCAACGAUAGACCUCGGAAAUCUCUGCAAGCAAAGUAUGGAUUGAUAGACUGUUCGAUUUCUGUAACUUUAUCUCAGAAUAUGGGCGUCUUCCGUGCUGCUUGCUGGAGAACUCUGUUCUCUCCCUGCCGAGGGGGUAUCGUUGCGUGCGGGAGGCGACCAUAUUUUUUGUUCCUUUCCUGUAUUGGAUCAUUGCUUUA